rnacentral:rRNA from 1 species
GACGAACGCUGGCGGCGUGCUUAACACAUGCAAGUCGAGCGGAGUAAAGGAGAGCUUGCUUUUCUUUACUUAGCGGCGGACGGGUGAGUAACACGUGGGCAACCUGCCCUAUGGAGGGGAAUAACAGGGAGAAAUCUUUGCUAAUACCGCAUAAAUCCAAAGCUUCGCAUGAAGUAAUGGGUAAAGGAGAAAUCCGCCAUAGGAUGGGCCCGCGUCCCAUUAGCUAGUUGGUGAGAUAACAGCCCACCAAGGCGACGAUGGGUAGCCGACCUGAGAGGGUGAACGGCCACAUUGGAACUGAGAGACGGUCCAGACUCCUACGGGAGGCAGCAGUGGGGAAUAUUGCACAAUGGGGGGAACCCUGAUGCAGCAACGCCGCGUGAGCGAUGAAGGUCUUCGGAUUGUAAAGCUC